CAAAUAUCUGCACUGUUAUGCUUCCAGCUGCAUAUCAAAAUCACAAGGACACUGUAAAUUGUCUUGAGAAGUAUGGCUACAAACAUCAUAUCUCAUAGAACAAGAUGCAAAGGAAGAAUACGUUAGUUAUUGGAAUUGGCAGAGGACAUUUGUGAGGUGGCGAGAUUUAAUAUUUCAUCACGCAUUUGUGGCAACCACAAGAUGUGAGACUUGAGGGUAGUGACUCGAGAGUAGUCAAAGUGAGAUCUUUGCUCUACAAGAUGCUGAUCCAAGAUGUUGUUAUGAAGACUUCCUAUGGUUGUCUAACAACAAUAGGGGUGUGGUCGGUGACCAUAAAACACAAAGAACAGGGUGGUGUUCAAAAUGUGGAAAGUCGUGUUAUACCACUAUUUUGUCCAAGGAAUCCAUUGACUCCACUUCUUUGGUUGCCAUUCACUACAUCAGCUUGACUAUCCGUUUGCAGAUGGAAUGACGUAGUCAUAAAAAUUGGGUGCCUUUGUAGUUUAAACAAUGGUCCAGAAAUGACUUAUAAAGAUUCUGUCAUGAUCCAACAUGGAGCGAGGAAGACAAGGCAAGCAAACCACCUACCUAAAAGACAUGGCCGCUAUAACCUUGGAAGAAAAUGUGUGGCUAACCGAAAUGCAUUGUCCUUGGCAAAAGAAAACACGGCAGCUAUGAACAGGGUGGUGUCCGAAAUGUAGAAAGUAUUGUUAUGCCAAUAUUUUGUUUUGUUUUACAUCGACCUUCAUACCACUAUGAAAUAGCUCACUCGUUAGUUUUUUAUGGGUUCUAAGAAACCUUGAAUUCCCUGUCAAAACAAAAUCAUGAAAUGUAGGCAAUAUAGAAGGAAUCAAGAAGGAAGUUUGUGGUAUCACCAAUUGCUCUUUGUCCAAUAAUUUCCCUUGUUAUAUGUCAGUACUUGGUAUAGUAUUGGUGUCGGGUUUUAUCAUUUUGAACUUUGUUUUGGAGUAAACGUACAUCAAAGGUGGUUUGGACCAUGAGGGAAGCUAGUUCUGCCACCGACCAUAGUCUCAACAAUUCAUCUGUUGUUUUAUUUCCAAUCCGGUCGAUGUUGAAUCUCAAAAUCAUAUCCCAACAGCUUCACUUCAGCAACCCAUUUUUUAUACUUCAGUUGCACCUCCAAUGUCAAGAAAAGAAAUCAAACUGUAAAUUUCUGCCUAAGCAAAUUAUGUCGUCAACCUUGUUGUACUAAUAAACAAUAGAUCUGAGUUUCCUUUCAUUCACAGGCUUAGGGCAAGCUCGUUGUCUAACUUAAAAAAAAAAAAAAAAAAAAA